rnacentral:RNase_P_RNA from 1 species
GGGCCGGACAGCCGCGCGGGUGCGUCGAAAGGCGCCUUGUGAGGAAAGUCCGGGCUCCACAGGGCAAGGAUAACGGGUAACGCCCGCCGAAGGCAACUUCAGGAAAAGUGCAACAGAGAGAUACCGCCCCGCUUUUUGCGGAGCAAGGGUGGAAAAGUGAGGUAAGAGCUCACUCGCCGGCUGGGAACUGUCCGGCGCUGUAAACUCUAUCCGGAGCAACACCGUGGUGGAGACAUAUGGUUGGCCCGACCGUCUCCGGGAGGUGGCUGGAGCGUAUCGGCAACGAUACGCCUAGAUAGAUGGCUGUCCACGACAGAACCCGGCUUACAGGCCCGAUUG